UGGGGAAUAUUGGACAAUGGGCGCAAGCCUGAUCCAGCCAUGCCGCGUGAGUGAUGAAGGCCCUAGGGUUGUAAAGCUCUUUCACCGGUGAAGAUAAUGACGGUAACCGGAGAAGAAGCCCCGGCUAACUUCGUGCCAGCAGCCGCGGUAAUACGAAGGGGGCUAGCGUUGUUCAGAUUUACUGGGCGUAAAGCGCACGUAGGCGGACUAUUAAGUCAGGGGUGAAAUCCCGGGGCUCAACCCCGGAACUGCCUUUGAUACUGGUAGUCUUGAGUUCGAGAGAGGUGAGUGGAAUUCCGAGUGUAGAGGUGAAAUUCGUAGAUAUUCGGAGGAACACCAGUGGCGAAGGCGGCUCACUGGCUCGAUACUGACGCUGAGGUGCGAAAGCGUGGGGAGCAAACAGG
rnacentral:rRNA from 1 species